CUCAUAGCGUAUAUUAAGUUGUUGCAGUUAAAAAGCUCGUAGUUGAACUUCUGGCUAUUCUUCCAGCUGGCUUCGGUCGCUGUAAGAGUGGUCAUCCGCUUGGGAACUACGUUCGAACUUCACUGUUCGGCGUAAGGAACAGGCAUUUUACUUAGAAAAAAUUAGAGUGUUCAAGGCAGGCUAUCGCCCUGAAUACACAAGCUUGGAAUAAUGAAAUAGGACUACUUCCAUUUUAUUGGUUAUUGGAAUUAGUAAUGAUUAAUAGGGACAGUUGGGGACAUUAGUAUUUAAUUGUCAGAGGUGAAAUUCUUGGAUUUAUUAAAGACUAACUUAUGCGAAAGCAUUUGUCAAGGAUGUUUUCAUUAAUCAAGAACGAAAGUUAGGGGAUCAAAGACGAUCAGAUACCGUCCUAGUCUUAACUAUAAACUAUACCGACUAGGGAUUGGCCGGGUCUCUUUAACCGGGUCAGCACCUUAUGAGAAAUCAAAGUCUAUGGGUUCUGGGGGGAGUAUGGUCGCA
rnacentral:rRNA from 1 species